rnacentral:ncRNA from 1 species
CAACAAAGGUUUAGUCCUGGCCUUAUUAUUAGCUACUGCUCAACUUACACAUGCAAGCAUCAACGCCCCAGUGAAAACACCCCAAAUAGCCCAACUAAGGGACAUGGAGCCGGCAUCAGGCACAUUAACACUAUAGCCCACGACGCCUAGCCUGUGGCCACACCCCCACGGGAUACAGCAGUGAUUAACAUUAAACCAUAAGCGAAAGCUUGAUUUAGUUAGAGCGUAGAGGGGCGGCCAAUCUCCGUGCCAGCAGCCGCGGUUACACAGCUACAGCCCCAAGUUAAUAAAAGCGGCGUAAAUUGUGGCUAAGAUUGAAUCUACUAAGUUAAGGCGAAAAGCUUGUCAAGCCGUGAAAAGCUAAAAACUUGCCAAGAACACCAGUAUUAACAUAGCCUUAACCAACAAGACACACCCGAACCCACGAAAGCUGGGGUACAAACUAGGAUUAGAUACCCUACUAUGCCCAGCCCUCAACAAAGGUGUACUAACUACACACUACACUCGCCAGGGGAUUACGAGCAAUUUGCUUAAAACUCAAAGGACUUGACGGUAUUUCGAACCCACCUAGAGGAGCCUGUCCUAUAAUCGACAAUACACGAUCCACCCAACCACCUUUUGCCCUAAGCAGCCUGUAUACCGCCGUCGCAAGCUUAGCCCAUGAGGGACAAGAACCUAGCACAAUAACUCACUUCUGAGCUAGUACGUCAGGUCAAGGUGCAGCCAAUAAGUUGGUAGAGAUGGGCUACAUUUUCUACAUCAUAGAAAUUAGUCACGGAGAGGCCUGUGAAACCAGGACUGUCAAAGACGGAUUUAGCAGUAAAUUAGGAGAAGAGUGCCUAAUUGAAGAUGGCCCCGGAAUAUGUACACACCGCCCGUCACCCUCCUCGAAUUUAGCCCAAUUUUUGCUACAUAACGCACAUAGAAUUCAAUGAGAUGAGGAAAGUCGUAACAAGGUAAGCGUACCGGAAGGUGUGCUUGGAACAU